GAUGAACGCUGGCGGCAUGCCUAAUACAUGCAAGUCGAGCGAUCAGAGGUUAAGCUUGCGACUGUCGCAUGGGCGACUGAUAGGUGAGUAACAGGUGGAUAACCUGGGUAAGAGCCGGGGAAAACUUCUUGAUACCGCAUCUGAACCCAGAGAGUAUGUGGAACAUCGUAGGACCUUAGUGAAUUACGGUUUUGCUUGCACGUAUAGAUAGAUCCGCGCCUCAUUAGCUAGUUGGUAGGGUAACGGCUUACCAAGGCGACGAUGCGUAGCCGACCUGAGAGGGCGAUCGGCCACACUGGAACUGAGACACGGCCCAGACUCCUACGGGAGGCAGCAGUAGGGAAUCUUGCGCAAUGGGCGAAAGCCUGACGGAGCAACGCCGCGUGAGUGAUGAAGGCCUUCGGAUCGUAAACCUCUGUUAUUAGGGAAGAAAACCUGUGUAAGUAAAUAUGCACGUCAUGACGGUACCUAAUCAGAAAGCACCGGCUAACUACGUG
rnacentral:rRNA from 1 species